rnacentral:rRNA from 1 species
CGGGGAAUAUUGCACAAUGGGCGCAAGCCUGAUGCAGCCAUGCCGCGUGUAUGAAGAAGGUCUUCGGAUUGUAAAGCACUUUAAGUUGGGAGGAAGGGCAUUAACCUAAUACGUUAGUGUUUUGACGUUACCGACAGAAUAAGCACCGGCUAACUCUGUGCCAGCAGCCGCGGUAAUACAGAGGGUGCAAGCGUUAAUCGGAAUUACUGGGCGUAAAGCGCGCGUAGGUGGUUUGUUAAGUUGGAUGUGAAAUCCCCGGGCUCAACCUGGGAACUGCAUUCAAAACUGACUGACUAGAGUAUGGUAGAGGGUGGUGGAAUUUCCUGUGUAGCGGUGAAAUGCGUAGAUAUAGGAAGGAACACCAGUGGCGAAGGCGACCACCUGGACUAAUACUGACACUGAGGUGCGAAAGCGUGGGGAGCAAACA